GAUGAACGCUGGCGGCGUGCCUAAUACAUGCAAGUCGAGCGAACAGACGAUGAGCUUUCUCCUCUACCGUUAGCGGCGGACGGGUGAGUAACACGUGGAUCACCUACUUAUAAGUCUGGGAUAACUUCGGGAAACCGGAGCUAAUAACGGAUAAUAUAUUGAACGGCAUGGAUCAGUAGUGCUACACGGUUUUGCCGUCUCUUUUAGCUGGUUCCGCGCCGCAUUAGCUAGUUGGUAAGGUAACGGCCUACCAAGGCAACGAUGCGUAGCCGACCUGAGAGGGUGAUCAGCCACACUGGAACUGAGACACGGUCCAGACUCCUACGGGAGGCAGCAGUAGGGAAUAUUGGGCAAUGGGCGCAAGCCUGACGGAGCAACACCGCGUGAGUGAAGAAGGUCUUCGGGUCGUAAAACUCUGUUAUUGGGGAAGAAAAGCUGUAUAAGUAAAUAUGGACGUCUUGACGGUACCUAAUGAGAAAGCCACGGCUAACUUCGUG
rnacentral:rRNA from 1 species